rnacentral:rRNA from 1 species
CUAGCGGGAGGCCUAACACAUGCAAGCCGAGCGGUAUGGAUAGCUUGCUAUCCAGAGAGCGGCGCACGGGUGCGUAACACGUGUGCAACCUACCUUUAUCUGGGGGAUAGCCUUUCGAAAGGAAGAUUAAUACCCCAUAAUAUAAUUGAUGGCAUCAUUGAUUAUUGAAAACUCCGGUGGAUAGAGAUGGGCACGCGCAAGAUUAGAUAGUUGGUGAGGUAACGGCUCACCAAGUCUGUGAUCUUUAGGGGUCCUGAGAGGGAGAUCCCCCACACUGGUACUGAGACACGGACCAGACUCCUACGGGAGGCAGCAGUGAGGAAUAUUGGACAAUGGGUGAGAGCCUGAUCCAGCCAUCCCGCGUGAAGGAUGACGGUCCUAUGGAUUGUAAACUUCUUUUGUACAGGGAUAAACCUACCCUCGUGAGGGUAGCUGAAGGUACUGUACGAAUAAGCACCGGCUAACUCCGUGCCAGCAGCCGCGGUAAUACGGAGGGUGCAAGCGUUAUCCGGAUUUAUUGGGUUUAAAGGGUCCGUAGGCGGACCUGUAAGUCAGUGGUGAAAUCUCAUAGCUUAACUAUGAAACUGCCAUUGAUACUGCAGGUCUUGAGUAAAUUUGAAGUGGCUGGAAUAAGUAGUGUAGCGGUGAAAUGCAUAGAU